GAGCGAAAGCCUAAAACUCAAAAGACUUGACGGUGUCCCAACCUACCUAGAGGAGCCUGUUACAUAAUCGAUAACCCACGAUAAACCCGACCACCCAUUGAAACAUUCAGCCUAUAUACCGCCGUCGACAGCCAACCUUAUAAAAGAACUAAAGCAGGCUCAAUAGAACCCCCCUAAAAAGUCAGGUCAAGGUGUAGCUAAUAGGGUGGAGAUAAUGGGCUACAUUUUUUAUAAUAAAAUACACGGACUAGUUUUUUAAACAAAACUAUAAAGGUGGAUUUAGCAGUAAGCU
rnacentral:rRNA from 1 species